UGGGGAAUAUUGCGCAAUGGGCGAAAGCCUGACGCAGCGACGCCUCGUGAGGGAUGAAGGUCUUCGGAUCGUAAACCUCUGUCAAGGGGGAAGAAACCUCUGGAUUCGAAUAGGGUCUAGAGCUGACGGUACCUCUAAAGGAAGCACCGGCUAACUCCGUGCCAGCAGCCGCGGUAAUACGGAGGGUGCAAGCGUUAAUCGGAAUCACUGGGCGUAAAGCGCUCGUAGGCUGUUUGGUAAGUCAGACGUGAAAGCCCGCGGCUUAACCGCGGAACUGCGUUUGAUACUGCCAGACUUGAGUGUCGGAGAGGGUGGCGGAAUUCCGGGUGUAGGAGUGAAAUCCGUAGAUAUCCGGAGGAACACCAGUGGCGAAGGCGGCCACCUGGACGACAACUGACGCUGAGGAGCGAAAGCGUGGGUAGCAAACA
rnacentral:rRNA from 1 species